AAUGGGGCGCGACAACUUUAACAACCUAUUAUCUUAAAAAAUAGGGAAAAGAGUCCCAAUGACCCUCCAACUCUUUUCCAGGUAAAGUUUUAGCUCUCUAACAAUUAACAGUAAAGGUUUGGCCCUCGAUCUAAUAAAAUAGCAUAUUUGCAACCCUUCUGUCAAAUCCAACAGUUAAAUUUGACAGAAAGUAUCAUCUCGUGAGACGCGCGACUAAAUAUCAAGGGUAUUAUAGUCUGUAAAGAAGAACACAAAUUCUGCCAAAUAGAAGAAGAACACAAAUUCUGACCACAGGGAUGAUUUCUUUGUGAACCUGGGUCUGACAGUGAGCACUCUAAGGGAAGAUGAAGUUGGUGAUUAUGAAACAGUUGAUGGGGUUGCUAGAGAGGGAUAUGGCGGACGGCGGCGGUGGCAAGGAAUUGGGACCUGGUACACCUAAUGCCAGUGGUGGUGGUUGUUGUGGGGUUUGGCAGGGAAAUGAGGAGGUCUGCGGAUUGGGAAAUGGUGGUGAUGGGGUUGUGGGCAUUGUGAAUCAGCAAUUUCAGCCUCAGCAGCAGCGGCGCAACAAGAACAACAGAAUGCUCCAUUCAUGUCCUUGCUUAUGAUGCAGACACCGGCCAUUCCCAAGGAGUGUGAUCGGACGGUGGCAAGGAACAUGUGGACCACCACUGCUUGUGAACCAUCCACUCAGGAGUUGGUGAAGAGCACAAUCUCGAUCAAAAUUUGAAAUUCUAGACUCUUCACUUGAGGUUCUGAAAUGCAUGAAGUCUUGGAGAACUAGAAAAGAAAUGUUAUAUUUUGAAUGCCCACUUUUGUAAUUGUACUUUGGGAGAUACUUUUAUAUCUUUUGGAUGAUUUUUUUUUGUGCUUUUGGGAAAAUGUGAAUC